rnacentral:rRNA from 1 species
GGGAUGCGUUCCAUUAGUUAGUUGGCGGGGUAACGGCCCACCAAGACAACGAUGGAUAGGGGUUCUGAGAGGAAGGUCCCCCACAUUGGAACUGAGACACGGUCCAAACUCCUACGGGAGGCAGCAGUGAGGAAUAUUGGUCAAUGGACGAGAGUCUGAACCAGCCAAGUAGCGUGAAGGAUGACUGCCCUAUGGGUUGUAAACUUCUUUUAUAUGGGAAUAAAACGUUCCACGUGUGGAAUUUUGUAUGUACCAUAUGAAUAAGGAUCGGCUAACUCCGUGCCAGCAGCCGCGGUAAUACGGAGGAUCCGAGCGUUAUCCGGAUUUAUUGGGUUUAAAGGGAGCGUAGGUGGAUUGUUAAGUCAGUUGUGAAAGUUUGCGGCUCAACCGUAAAAUUGCAGUUGAAACUGGCAGUCUUGAGUACAGUAGAGGUGGGCGGAAUUCGUGGUGUAGCGGUGAAAUGCUUAGAUAUCACGAAGAACUCCGAUUGCGAAGGCAGCUCACUGGACUGCAACUGACACUGAGGCUCGAAAGUGUGGGUAUCAAACAGGAUUAGAUACCCUGGUAGUCCACACAGUAAACGAUGAAUACUCGCUGUUUGCGAUAUACAGCAAGC